rnacentral:rRNA from 1 species
UACAGAGGGUGCGAGCGUUGUUCGGAAUUAUUGGGCGUAAAGCGCUUGUAGGCGGCACGUCAAGUCGCGUGUGAAAUCCCCAGGCUUAACCUGGGAAGUGCGCGCGAAACUGACGAGCUUGAGUGCCGGAGAGGGUCGCGGAAUUCCCGGUGUAGAGGUGAAAUUCGUAGAUAUCGGGAGGAACACCAGUGGCGAAGGCGGCGACCUGGACGGACACUGACGCUGAGACACGAAAGCGUGGGGAGCAAACAGG